rnacentral:rRNA from 1 species
UAGGGAAUCUUCGGCAAUGGGGGGAACCCUGACCGAGCAACGCCGCGUGAGUGAAGAAGGUUUUCGGAUCGUAAAGCUCUGUUGUUAAGGAAGAACGAGUGUGAGAAUGGAAAGUUCAUACUGUGACGGUACUUAACCAGAAAGGGACGGCUAACUACGUGCCAGCAGCCGCGGUAAUACGUAGGUGGCAAGCGUUGUCCGGAUUUAUUGGGCGUAAAGCGAGCGCAGGCGGUCAAUUAAGUCUGAUGUGAAAGCCCCCGGCUCAACCGGGGAGGGUCAUUGGAAACUGGUUGACUUGAGUGCAGAAGAGGAGAGUGGAAUUCCAUGAGUAGCGGUGAAAUGCGUAGAUAUAUGGAGGAACACCAGUGGCGAAGGCGACUCUCUGGUCUGUAACUGACGCUGAGGCUCGAAAGCGUGGGUAGCAAACAGG